rnacentral:rRNA from 1 species
UACGGAGGAUCCAAGCGUUAUCCGGAAUCAUUGGGUUUAAAGGGUCCGUAGGCGGGCAGCUCAGUCAGUGGUGAAAGUUUGCGGCUUAACCGUAAAAUUGCCAUUGAUACUGGUUGUCUUGAAUUAAUGUGAAGUGGUUAGAAUGAGUAGUGUAGCGGUGAAAUGCAUAGAUAUUACUCAGAAUACCGAUUGCGAAGGCA